GACGAACGCUGGCGGCGUGCCUAAUACAUGCAAGUCGAACGCAGUGGGGACGGGUGAGUAACACGUUGGUAACCUCCCAUCAGAGGGGAUAACACUUGGAAACAGGUGCUAAACCGAUACUGAUGGAUGGACCCGCGGUGCAUUAGCUAGUUGGUGAGGUAACGGCUCACCAAAGCCACGAUGCAUAGCCGACCUGGGAGGGUGAUCGGCCACACUGGGACUGAGACACGGCCCAGACGCCUACGGUGGGCAGCAGUAGGGAAGCUUCGGCAAUGGACGAAUGUCUGACCGAGCAACGACGCGUGAGUGAAGACGGUGUUCGGAUCGUAGAACUCUGUUGUUAGAUAAGCGGUAUCUAACCAGAGAGCCACGGCUAACUACGUGCCAGCAGCCGCGGUAAUAG
rnacentral:rRNA from 1 species